rnacentral:rRNA from 1 species
GGCUCAGACGAAACGCUGGCGGCGUGCUAAACACAUGCAAGUCGAACGAGAAGUACGUAGCAAUACGUAUUGUAAAGUGGCGCACGGGUGAGUAACACGUGGGUAAUCUGCCCUUGAGUUUGGGAUAACCCCGCGAAAGCGGGGCUAAUACCGAAUAAGACCACGGGGACCAAAGUCCCUGGGGUAAAAGGUGGCCUCUAUUUAUAAGCUACCACUUGAGGAUGAGCCCGCGGCCCAUUAGCUAGUUGGCAGGGUAAUGGCCUACCAAGGCAAUGAUGGGUAGCUGGUCUGAGAGGACGAUCAGCCACACUGGAACUGAGACACGGUCCAGACUCCUACGGGAGGCAGCAGUGGGGAAUAUUGCGCAAUGGGCGAAAGCCUGACGCAGCAACGCCGCGUGGGGGAUGAAGGUUUUCGGAUUGUAAACCCCUUUCGAUCGGAACGAAUCUCCUCCUGGUAAAUAAUCAGGAGGAUCGACGGUACCGGGAGAAGAAGCCACGGCUAACUCUGUGCCAGCAGCCGCGGUAAGACAGAGGUGGCAAGCGUUGUUCGGAUUUAUUGGGCGUAAAGCGAACGCAGGCGGUUUGGUAAGUCAGGGGUGAAAGACCACAGCUUAACUGUGGUAUUGCCUUUGAUACUGCCUUUCUUGAGUGGAGUAGGGGGAAGCGGAAUUCCGAGUGUAGAGGUGAAAUUCGUAGAUAUUCGGAGGAACACCGGUGGCGAAGGCGGCUUCCUGGACUCUAACUGACGCUCAUGUUCGAAAGCGUGGGUAGCAAACAGGAUUAGAUACCCUGGUAGUCCACGCCCUAAACGAUGGGCACUAGGUGUGGGAGGUAUCGACCCCUUCCGUGCCGCAGCUAACGCAUUAAGUGCCCCGCCUGGGGAGUACGGCCGCAAGGUU